rnacentral:lncRNA from 1 species
AGCCAUAGACCAUGGGAGUCAACAAGUCCUGCCCCUAAUUAUGAUCUGUGUCCGGAGUUGAUUACAAUAGGUCAAAACCAACCCUUUUCCAUAGUUGAGGUCCUAUCUUUUAAUCAAGAAGAUAAUGCACUUUUAGCUACACCAAGGGAAUCUGUUAAUCUUUCUAUAAAUUCUGGUUUAGACCUAGCCCUACAAGACCAUGU